rnacentral:misc_RNA from 1 species
GCGAGUAUGGCCCUCACGGGUCUAAUCCACCAUAAACACCUUUUGUGAACCAGUCAGGGGGGACUCGGCCGUGAAAGCCAGGCGAUUAGCGGAAGGGCCCUCCUUUGCAAACCCGUUUAGAAGUCUUGAAAGUACUUUUGUAUAAUCUAGUA